rnacentral:misc_RNA from 1 species
UUGUGGAGAAGGACGCCGAAGGUGGGGCUGAUGACUGGGGUGAAGUCGUAACAAGGUAGCCGUACCGGAAGGUGCGGCUGGAUCACCUCCUAACAGGGAGACAAUUAAUUGAUUGUGAUGUCUAAGUCAUUUAUUCUUAGGCCGCAAUCCUGUCACCUUAAGGUCGAUCGGUACCUCAGAUUUUUGAAUUAAAUUUUAUAUUUAAUCCUUUAAUUUCAGUUCCUAAACUUGUCUAGGUCACACCCAACAAGGUUUCUCCUGGGCCAUUAGCUCAGGUGGUUAGAGCGCACCCCUGAUAAGGGUGAGGUCCCUGGUUCAAGUCCAGGAUGGCCCAUUCGUUGUUGGGGGUAUAGCUCAGUUGGUAGAGCGCCUGCUUUGCAAGCAGGAUGUCAGCGGUUCGAGUCCGCUUACCUCCACUGAAAUCCACCCUGGUAACUAAAUUCCGGAGAAAAUUUUGUAGAUGUGACUUAGAAUUGUCUAUUGAACAGACCCUAGCUUCUUAUCAUCUUUUUAUAGUUGAUAAAAUGCUGGGCUCGCAUGGAUUAUUUCCAUGAGAAUUCAGUAGAACCUUGAAAACUGCAUAGAUUAGAAAGAAUAAAGCAUCUCAUGGAUGCAUAAUUCUGUUUUUAUAAUUUAGCCCUAAAGCUAAAUUAUUUAAAUCUUGAAUUCAUGUUUAAUUCUUGAGUAAAAGCCGAGCACAAUUGAUUUUGUGAUUGUAUUAAGGUCAAGCUACAA